rnacentral:lncRNA from 1 species
CUAAUGCAGCAUCUGCAGUACUGCACCCAAAUAUGACAACCCAGACCAGGUGGGGAAAAUGAAGUCUAGUUCAGGCUGGUGGCCCAAGGUCCCCCUUGUUACACUGGCCAGCAACAAGGUAACACUGGCCUUGGCUCGCAAGGCACAUAAACCACACAAGAUGCUGCAGUCAACACCGCUGAGGGUUGGGGGAUCCAGCUAUCUGUAAUUGUGAAGUGAAGAGGAUGUGACUGCCAGGUAAUGCUAACCCCGAAUCCUUGGUGCCUGUGUUAUGCACCAUAUGCUGAAUUUCGGUUCCAGCUGUGUGCUAGGCUGGGUCUGAUCUGGCAAAGAGGAACUGGCUCCACAGCUCUGGGCAGAAUCCACUGCUGCUCCCACACAGAGAAGACCAGGGGAACCGCAGUCCCACUCUGACUUCAGGUAACAGAAGGAAGAGAACACAUGGAUGGGCACAUGCUGGGCCCGGAAGAGCUGUGCAUGUCCCACAGACCACGAGUGUGGAGCCCAUGGCCGUGUGAAGGGGGUGGGGUCCCAGUCCUAGAAGCAGGAUCAUGGAAGUGGCCUUGGAGGACCUGACGAGGAAGCCUAUGAUCUUCCAGGUACUUUUAGGUGAUGUGGAUUUAGACACUGGAUGUGGCUGUGAAGCGGGCUUUUGCUUUUUUGGUUGUCCGGCAUCCAUUUAAUCACGCCCCAGCUUCCUGCUUGGGAACUUCCACUAACGCUGUCAGUCCAUGGACUUCUAGAGGAGCUGAAUCUACCGCUGGCUCAGGAACAGGAACCUGACCUGGGCCUAAGCUAAUGAAUCCAUCAAAUUUACCUUGGCAAAGUGAUUGCCUCAGGAAUGGGCAGUGACCCAACUAGAGCCAAUAGGACUUUUCCCAGGUAUCCUGAAACAGACAGUCUUUUUCUCAUGGAUGUGGACCUGAGACAGUAUAGUUCUGGGAGUUGCUGACAACCAUCUUAUGGUCAUGAGCUGAUUUGAGAUUGGCUUCAACAAGCAGGAAGUGGAACAGAUGGAGAUAAAUUGGAUCCUGGUAAAAUUUGUUUGGAAUCUUGUAUAUGUUGAUUUUUCUCCUGAAUUUUUUUCAGUUAUAUGAACCAAUACAUUUUGUUUGUUUAACCCAAUAUGGGUCAUGUCUUCUCUCAACUGCAGGUGACUGCAGUUUACUUGUUUCAUAAAGUAGGAUUUUAAACAUAAACAGUAUGCAGAA